ACUCCUACGGGAGGCAGCAGUGGGGAAUUUUGGACAAUGGGCGAAAGCCUGAUCCAGCAAUGCCGCGUGUGUGAAGAAGGCCUUCGGGUUGUAAAGCACUUUUGUCCGGAAAGAAAUCCUUGGCUCUAAUACAGUCGGGGGAUGACGGUACCGGAAGAAUAAGCACCGGCUAACUACGUGCCAGCAGCCGCGGUAAUACGUAGGGUGCGAGCGUUAAUCGGAAUUACUGGGCGUAAAGCGUGCGCAGGCGGUUUGCUAAGACCGAUGUGAAAUCCCCGGGCUCAACCUGGGAACUGCAUUGGUGACUGGCAGGCUAGAGUAUGGCAGAGGGGGGUAGAAUUCCACGUGUAGCAGUGAAAUGCGUAGAGAUGUGGAGGAAUACCGAUGGCGAAGGCAGCCCCCUGGGCCAAUACUGACGCUCAUGCACGAAAGCGUGGGGAGCAAACAGGAUUAGAAACCCUGGUAGUCCCAUGA
rnacentral:rRNA from 1 species